CCGCCGCCUCAGAGCGCUCCCUUUCCCCCUCCGUUCCCCCCGCUCCCCUUCCCCUCACGGGGAUGCGGCACAGAGCCCAUCGCGGCCCCGCUCCGCACCCCCUGACGGCCCUCACCGGGGCGGGGGGAAUGAACGGCGCCAGGGGAGCCUCAGCCUGCAGGAGCUCCGUGAGGAGCGAGGGGGCCGGAUGGCGAUGCCCUGGACGGAGUGUGACCUGCCCCGGGCAGCCACUGGUGCCCCAGAGCCAGGUUUCCUUUUUUAAAAAGAAUUAUUUUUCUUCAGUGGUUCGUGUUGAGCUCUUUCAAUGUUAAAGUUCAAGGCUGGUACAGAACAGAAGAAGAGAUUCGGAUAAGUUGCUCUCUUUAGAAUCACAUUAAGAGUUAAUGACUGAAA